rnacentral:rRNA from 1 species
AGAGUUUGAUCAUGGCUCAGAACGAACGCUGGCGGCGUGGAUUAGGCAUGCAAGUCAAACGCGAAAGUGGGAGCAAUCCCGCGAGUAGAGUGGCGAACGGGUGAGUAACGCGUGAAGAACCUGCCUUCAACAGGGGGAUAACACUCCCAACGGGGUGCUAAUACCGCAUGAGACCACGGGUCUGCAUGGACCUGAGGUCAAAGGUGGCCUCUGCUUGCAAGCUACCGGUUGAAGAUGGCUUCGCGUCCCAUUAGCUAGUUGGCGGUGUAAAAGACCACCAAGGCGACGAUGGGUAGCUGGUCUGAGAGGAUGGUCAGCCACACUGGGACUGAGAUACGGCCCAGACUCCUACGGGAGGCAGCAGUCGAGAGGCUUCGGCAAUGGGGGAAACCCUGACCGAGCGACGCCGCGUGGAGGAUGAAGGCCCCUGGGUUGUAAACUCCUUUUGCUGGGGAAGAAACACGAUCAGGUGAACAAUCUGGUCGUUGACGUACCCGGCGAAUAG